rnacentral:rRNA from 1 species
UACUAGCGGUCCAAGUCGCAGCCAUUUUUAUUGGGUCUAAAACAUCCGUAGCUUGCUUAAUAAGUUCUCUGUGAAAUCUCAUCUCUCAAGGAUGGGGCGAGCAUGGAAUACUGUUGAGCUAGAGACUGGAAGACGUAAGAAGUAUGAUCAAAGUAGUGGUAAAAUACUUUAAUCUUGGUCAGACUAACAAUAGCGAAGGCAUCUUACGAGGACAGUUCUGACAGUAAAGGAUGAAGGCUAGGGGCGCAAAACGGAUUAGAUACCCCCGUA